rnacentral:rRNA from 1 species
AUACGGGAGGCAGCAGUGGGGAAUAUUGGACAAUGGGCGAAAGCCUGAUCCAGCAAUACCGCGUGUGUGAAGAAGGCCUGAGGGUUGUAAAGCACUUUCAAUAGGAAGGAAUACCUACCGGCCAAUACCCGGUAGACUGACAUUACCUAUACAAGAAGCACCGGCUAACUCCGUGCCAGCAGCCGCGGUAAUACGGAGGGUGCAAGCGUUAAUCGGAAUUACUGGGCGUAAAGCGUGCGUAGGCGGUUAUUUAAGUCAGAUGUGAAAGCCCUGGGCUUAACCUGGGAACUGCAUUUGAUACUGGAUGACUAGAGUUGAGUAGAGGAGAGUGGAAUUUCAGGUGUAGCGGUGAAAUGCGUAGAGAUCUGAAGGAACACCAGUGGCGAAGGCGGCUCUCUGGACUCAAACUGACGCUGAGGUACGAAAGCGUGGGUAGCAAACAGGAUUAGAUACCCCGGU